CCCGAUGUAGUACUGAUCUUCGAAUGUUGAAUUGGUGGGGAUAUCAUAUGGAUCCCAUGGCUCGGUCAGAGCAAUCUUUGAGCAGAGCUUUGUAACUUGCUCAAUCUGAAACAUCACUGCAUCUUUAUAGAGCAGUAUAUACUCAAAGAAUUUCUUGCAGGGGAUGAGCGCCUUCCUCUCCUCCAAGAUGCGGAGGCGCUGGUUGAGGCCGUCGUAAGAGACAGCGGCCCGCGUGUUGCGGCCCGUGCCGUGAUCGUAGCGCACGCUGCGCCCUUCCCACUGCCCCGGCGCCCGGCACGGCUCGGCCCCCGCCCCGCCGCGCACCAGGAGGCCGCCCAGCAGCAGCAGCAGCCCGCCCGUCGCCAGCGCCAUGCUCCGCGCCGCACUGCGCGCCCGCCACGGGAAC
rnacentral:lncRNA from 1 species